AUUGAACGCUGGCGGCAUGCCUUACACAUGCAAGUCGAACGCGAAAGGGGGGCAACCCCUGAGUAGAGUGGCGCACGGGUGAGUAAUGCAUCGGAACGUGUCCUGUAGCGGGGGAUAACCUAGCGAAAGCUAGGCUAAUACCGCAUACGCCCUAAGGGGGAAAGUGGGGGAUCGUAAGACCUCACACUAUAGGAGCGGCCGAUGCCGGGUUAGCUAGUUGGUGGGGUAAAAGCUCACCAAGGCGACGAUCCGUAGCUGGUCUGAGAGGAUGAUCAGCCACACUGGGACUGAGACACGGCCCAGACUCCUACGGGAGGCAGCAGUUGGGAAUUUUGGACAAUGGGGGAAACCCUGAUCCAGCCAGGCCGCGUGAGUGAAGAAGGCCUUCGGGUUGUAAAGCUCUUUCGGCCGGGACGAAAUCGCACGCGUGAUUAUCGUGUGCGGAUGACGGUACCGGCAGAAGAAGGACCGGCUAACUACGUGCCAGCCGCCGCAGUAA
rnacentral:rRNA from 1 species